UACGUAGGGGGCAAGCGUUGUCCGGAUUCAUUGGGCGUAAAGAGCGUGUAGGCGGCCAGGUAGGUCGGUUGUGAAAACUGGAGGCUCAACCUUCAGAGGUCGACCGAAACCAUCUGGCUAGAGUCCGGGAGAGGAGAGUGGAAUUCCUGGUGUAGCGGUGGAAUGCGCAGAUAUCAGGAGGAACACCAAUAGCGAAGGCAGCUCGCUGGGACGGUACUGACGCUGAGGCGCGAAAGCGUGGGGAGCGAACAGG
rnacentral:rRNA from 1 species